rnacentral:rRNA from 1 species
UACGUAGGGGGCUAGCGUUGUCCGGAAUCAUUGGGCGUAAAGAGCGUGUAGGCGGCCCGGUAAGUCCGCUGUGAAAGUCGGGGGGCUCAACCCUCGAAUGCCGGUGGAUACUGUCGGGCUAGAGUGCGGAAGAGGCGAGUGGAAUUCCUGGUGUAGCGGUGAAAUGCGCAGAUAUCAGGAAGAACACCGAUGGCGAAGGCAGCUCUCUGGGACGGUACUGACGCUGAGACGCGAAAAGCGUGGGGAGCGAACAGG